AUCAAUAAAUUGUUGUAGUAUUCUAAAUGGACUACAACAAACUGAUAAACUACUCCUCUUAAGGAUAUCGUCUCGAAGAUAUAACCUUAAUAAAGUUCAAAAAUCAACAAAA
rnacentral:snoRNA from 1 species